AGUCCCAUAGUUUAAGUUUAAAAUAUUAGACUGCAAUUCUGAAGAUACAAUAUAGUUGGGGCUU
rnacentral:tRNA from 1 species